rnacentral:rRNA from 1 species
UACGUAGGGGGCAAGCGUUAUCCGGAUUUACUGGGUGUAAAGGGAGCGUAGACGGCAGCACAAGUCUGGAGUGAAAUCCCAUGGCUUAACCAUGGAACUGCUUUGGAAACUGUGCAGCUGGAGUGCAGGAGAGGUAUGCGGAAUGCGUGGUGUAGCGGUGAAAUGCUUAGAUAUCGCGCAGAACCCCGAUUGCGAAGGCAGCGUACCGGCUCCACACUGACGCUGAGGCACGAAAGCGUGGGUAUCGAACAGG